rnacentral:tRNA from 1 species
GCCCUCAUAGCUCAGUCGGCAGAGCACACCCUUGGUAAGGGUGAGGUCACGGGUUCGAAUCUCGUUGAGGGCUC